GAUGAACGCUGGCGGCGUGCCUAAUACAUGCAAGUCGAGCGAACAGACGAGGAGCUUGCUCCUCUGACGUUAGCGGCGGACGGGUGAGUAACACGUGGAUAACCUACCUAUAAGACUGGGAUAACUUCGGGAAACCGGAGCUAAUACCGGAUAAUAUAUUGAACCGCAUGGUUCAAUAGUGAAAGACGGUUUUGCUGUCACUUAUAGAUGGAUCCGCGCCGCAUUAGCUAGUUGGUAAGGUAACGGCUUACCAAGGCAACGAUGCGUAGCCGACCUGAGGGGGUGAUCGGCCACACUGGAACUGAGACACGGUCCAGACUCCUACGGGAGGCAGCAGUAGGGAAUCUUCUGCAAUGGGCGAAAGCUUGACGGAGCAACGCCGCGUGAGUGAUGAAGGUCUUCGGAUCGUAAAACUCUGUUAUUAGGGAAGAACAAAUGUGUAAGUAACUAUGCACGUCUUGACGGUACCUAAUCAGAAAGCCACGGCUAACUACGUG
rnacentral:rRNA from 1 species